UGCAGCUCAGGCUUGUGCAUGCUUGCCAACUUCCUGUGUGAUUUAGUCACAUGCCCAUACUUGAGAACCACAGUGUGGAGCAAGAGUAAAGAAGGCAGGUCACCAGCAAGGUUUGAGCUCUGUCUUGAAGGACAAGACAAAUUUCGAUGCAUGGUGUCAUUCCAAACAGGGAAAAUGGUGGAAAGGUGCAGGAUGUAGUGGUCAGGGAUGAGAAAGUCCUGGCGACCUGAGGAAGUGAGUGGAACAGAAGUGGGACAUCAGAUGGGUGUGUCCAAACUUGCUAUGGUGGAGAAUGGGGAGCUCUCCAGUGUUGACCAAUGGGACUGUAACGUAAUGGAAGCAGGAAGGAAGAUGUCACAAGGGCAGUGAUCACUCUUUUCUCUUCUGUAUUUUCCUGAGCUGCUCCCUCUUCAUACUUCCCUUCUCAAUUGCGAAGUAAUAGUCAAGCCUCUCAGGGAACAUGGAAAAUAUCCCUGUGGGGGCAACAUCCUCCAGCAACUGGAAGAGCCUUGGGAUGCCCAGCAUCCUGUGGAUCCUGGGACUGGGAUAAGAUGGAGGGGACAGGGCUCUGAGGGUGGCCAUGGCUGCUGCUGCUCUGGACCUCAGGAACUGGAUGAUGAAACAGAAUCUGGAGCUUCCUCUAGUGCACUGUGAAGUUGAGAAAUGUGAAGUCAUCCAAACAACCUCUCAUCUCUAUGUUGAUUUCCUGGGAGAUGUAAAGUGAUUCCAAGCUGUAGGCGAAGGGGAGAAACAAAAGUGCUUGCUGGGAGGAAAGAACUGGACCACAGUUGGUUCUUACAACAUCAUGCUCUCCUCCUCCAGCCCGAAGGCCUGGCAAUGGGAGAAGAGCCAGGCCUCCCCAGAGACACUGGUGCGCAUGAACACUAGGAGCAAAGACCUAAACUGGGCCCAGGCCGGGAGAUACCUGCUAAAGGAUAGUCCCAGGGAGGUUGUAUGCAAGGUCACAGGGACAGAGCUCCGGUGGCAGGACUUGGGGCUGUACCAGUGCAUGAUCGACCUCUCACCUCAGAACCCCCAUGUCCUGUCCAAAAAGAUUCGGUUGAUAGAGCGCAAAGAAAAUGGCACUGGCCAAGAGAACCAACCAAGGCAAUCUGGAUCCAAUGCCUGCUGCUGGUGGUGAUUGUUCUGAUAUGUGGAUUCAUCCUGAACAAGGGCCUGGUGUUCUCUGUCUUGUUUAUCUCUCUCCAGAAAGCCUGGGCUCAGCCACCAUCUCUACCCCUUGCUGUAGCUUCUGACACCCUAGGACUGGAGCUGUGGAAGGGAAGAGGAAAGGAGCAGGGAAGGUCUCACCUAUCACUGCUGCUCUGAGGGUAGUCAGCUUAAGUUAACCUUUUAUGAGAGAAAUUUACAUUUAUGAAGGAAAUUCCCAGUUGUAGUGGUGUCUCCCUCUCUGUACCAGGAUGAGAAGGAUGACUCUAAAUCAUAGAAGAAAUUUAUCCAUGAAGAAGGCAUGGAUUGAAAUCUGCAUAAUGAACCUUACCUCUUGUUUACAAUGCUUUUCUUGGAACUAAUCUCCCCAUAGUGGCCUCCCUACACCUGUCUUUUGUCUUUAGCUGAAGACAGAACUUAAGCUGGAGUUCUAAGCCACCUUGGGGAGUUACUCAGUUUUCCCCCUGGUUCUCUCCCCUGUAUACAUGAGGUAUACAUGUUCAUAAACUUUUGUUUGUUUUUCACUUGUUAAUCUGUCUUUUAUUAGAGGAGCCUCAGUCUCUACCAGAAGGAUAGAGGGAAAAUUAUUUUCCUCACCUAUAUCAGUCAACCUCUAGCUUCCUUCCAUGGGGUCUGUCCACCUCCAGGCAGCCUUUUUGGACAGGAUCCUUGACAACCCAUACUGGUGGGCUCACACAUGUGCAGCUCACAUCUGGUGCAUGGGAAAUACCCACUUCAUUCACCCCCAACAAACUCAUGGAGCCCUGGUGGAUCCCCACACAACCAGUUUUUCACUCCAUCAUUGGGACAUCUAGCCAAAGGCAGUCUCUGUCAGUUACAGUUCUUAGGCUGGAGUUAGACACCAGUCUGCUGUGUCUUUCAAGUGCAGAAGACAUUUAAGCUCUCCAAGUUGUGAUCUUGAAGCCCCUUUCCCUGGGCUUGAGGAAAGGAGCAGACAUCCACUCCCCCUCUACCCCCAGGGUCAUAAUAUAUCCAAGCUGUGUCUAAAAAUCCUCUCCUAAUCUUCAAAAUCUCUGCAAAUGCAUAACCCUAGUGUGAGUGAAGUUUGAAUACCUUUUUGCAUGGGUUGCUCAUGCUUCACUCUGGAAUAUGGCAUCUAUUUUCUUGAGACUUGUGUUAGUUGCAGACAGCUAAAUCCAAUCUGCCUAUUUUAUAUAGGAAGGGAUUUUUAAAAACUAGAAUAGUAAAUGAUUUACAGAAUCAGAUCCUACUGUGAGCCACUGGGAAUCACUCUCAACGCCACACUACAGGGUGGGGCUGCUAAGGGGUCACUGCUCUUGUGACAGUCAGGACCCUGAAGAAUCAGAACACUUCCCAAAUCGGGAAGCUGCCAGCCUAGCUUCUGGUUCCAGCCUCAGCCCACCUCAGCCACAAUCCACACCAGCAAAAUGGAUGCCUUUCCUCCAAACUUAAGUCUCGCACAAAUGCAUUUGAUUGGUGGGGCCUAAAUUAUAUCUGGAACCCUAGCUGUCAGAAAGUCUGAGAAAAGAUUGUGCAGACCUUUUACUGUACAGAAAGGCCCAUGAGAAGGAGAAAGGAUUGGUCCACAGCAUCUGCCCAAACAAUCUCAGCCAAAACUGAGAUGAAAAUAGUUCAAAUUUGAAAGGUCUUUGCUUUUUAUGGUCAAUGAAAAACAAAUACAAACAUACAUUCUUUGUUGUGUUAUGACAAAUAUACCCUUUUGUUUAUUAUGAAGUUAUUUUAUAAUAAAACUUCCUAUUUACCAAAAAAAUAUAUUGGACAUUAUUAUGUGUUUUGCAUAUCACAUAGUAAGAUACAAACACAGAGAGUUCCUAUUUUUUUCCUAUUCCAAAAUCUAUGGUACUUUUCUCAAAAAAUCUCUGCAUGUUUAAGAAAAUGACUCCUAUUUCCCAUCACUCUAUUUCAAUCUACUCCUGGGAUGGCCACAUGAUCAUUAAUUAUUCAGUGACAUUUGGAAAAUUCAGGUUCCAUGGCAGUCACGUAAGUGAAAACUGGAUAAAGCAGUUCCUGUUCCAGGCUGGAUGUACAUCCUCUCAUUUAUGUUAGGAAGUAACAUCCUCCUAAAAGAUGGAGGAGAAGGCCAAAUGCAAACAGAAUGCAAACAUGCUUUGUGUUUGCUUUUUUUUUUUUAAUUUAAGAUCUUUUAAGUGCUCAAAACUGAGUUGCCAUACUCCUUACCCCUUGGUACAGUCACCUAUGGAAAUACCUUACCACUUACUUGGUUUAAUGUGAUUUUUAUUUUUCUCAUCUUCACCCACCCAUUGUGCUCCCUCCCCACAGGCAUCCUCUUCAUAUAUUUAAUGUAUGCCCUUUCAAUCUAGUGUCCAUAUGUUUAUUUU